UUUUGGCUCAGGAUGAACGCUGGCGGCGUGCUUAACACAUGCAAGUCGAACGAUGAUGCUGGUGCUUGCACUGGUGGAUUAGUGGCGAACGGGUGAGUAACACGUGAGUAACCUGCCCCUGACUUCGGGAUAAGCCCGGGAAACUGGGUCUAAUACCGGAUAUGACUUCCUGCUGCAUGGCAGGGGGUGGAAAGAUUUAUCGGUUGGGGAUGGACUCGCGGCCUAUCAGCUUGUUGGUGAGGUAAUGGCUCACCAAGGCGACGACGGGUAGCCGGCCUGAGAGGGUGACCGGCCACACUGGGACUGAGACACGGCCCAGACUCCUACGGGAGGCAGCAGUGGGGAAUAUUGCACAAUGGGCGAAAGCCUGAUGCAGCGACGCCGCGUGAGGGAUGACGGCCUUCGGGUUGUAAACCUCUUUCAGUAGGGAAGAAGCCCCUUUUGGGGUGACGGU
rnacentral:rRNA from 1 species